rnacentral:lncRNA from 1 species
UUUUGAUGGAAAGUUACAACUCUAAAUAUCAAUUUUUGGUCCCGAACUCAUCUCUCUAUUGUUCUCUUCUACAAAGUCUCACGAGAGAAAUUAGAGUUUGGAAGAAUCAAAGACUUGCAGCAAUUACUGAGUACAAAAUUCAAACACCAAUGGUUUGAGGUAAAUAGUUGAUCCUAAACCUUUUUCAGUUUUGAUUCGUAUGGCAAUGUUUUCAUACACUUUUGGAUUGUAUGUAUUCUUACAUUUGACAUCAAAGCCCAUGGAUCUUGCCCCUACCUUGGAAUUAAUUUUUGCACCAGAAAAUUUGUUAGUGGUCUUUUCUUUUGAAAAAUGAAACUGGUGAUGUGGUUAUGAGAUACAUUCAUGCAGCAUGAAAGAUUUUUUUUUUUUAUCUCUCAAAAUCACUACUUAAAAAUAAAAUAAAACACCCUUGCUUGCUGUCGUGCUCUGAGCGCGAGUUUGUAACUCAAGCGAGGGCAUCAGUGUGGUUGGAGAUUGGUCUGGCUGGACUGGUAGGACACUGCAUAUCUGCCUCCAUUUUUCAUAUUCAUCUUCUAAUUAAUCAUCACACACCUAGAGUUCGCUAGCCCACACUAGCGAUCCCAGUAGAGUCCUAACCCCCUUCCAGCAUCUGGGUCAUCUUGUCUCAUGUUAGCAGGCUGCAAGAGAUGAUGGUCAUCGGAUGAAUGAUGGGUAAUGAGUGAUGGGAGAUGGGUGACGGUGUUUGUUAGUCCAAGUGGGAGCUGAGCGUUGAGAUCCGGGCGAGAAGGCCUGGAUGUCUAAGUUCCAAGAGCGGGGAGGGAACCAUGUGAGGCUGGUUUCACAAUGCACCACAUGAGGUUGCUUUUACAGUGCUCCAUCUCCUCUCGCUCCCGUCGGUGGAAGAUUAAUUAGUUGGCCUACCCGUGUGAUGCAGACGGCUUCAAGGCUUGGAAUGGUGCCAGUGAAGGAAGGCUAUUGCGCUGAGUUUUGGUGUGGUGCUAUCGGUGAAGGAAGGUUGUCAUGCUGAGUUUUGGUGUGGUGCUGCCGGUGAAGGAAGGCUGCCACGCUGAGUUUUGGUGUGGUGUUGCCAGUGAAGGAAGGUUGUCGUGUUAAGUUUUGGUGCGGUGCUAUCGGUGAAGAAAGGCGUCGUGCUAAGUUUCGAGUGUCCUUUC